GCCUUCGUGGUGUAGUGGUCAGCACGCUUGAUAUGUAACCAAGAGUUCAACGGUUCAAUUCCUGGCGAAGGCA
rnacentral:tRNA from 1 species